AACCCAUGGUGAGGGCACUCCCUUCAGUAUUCCUUGUAACGUUCCCAAGCAUCAUAGAAAGGUUCGUCGGUCUUUUGCUUGAAAUUCGAGAUCUUAUGCCUUAGAGC
rfam:Brassica oleracea var. oleracea cultivar TO1000 chromosome C9, whole genome shotgun sequence